UCAAUGUUCUAUCUACACCUCAUGACAAACACCUGUGACCACCUGCACAGAUCCUGAGAGCAAUGGAUUUUGGUUUCUCUUCUCAAAAAGUCACUGCUUUAUCCUUUUAUGUACUAUGCCCUACCUGCUCCAAGAACACACAGCAUUCCAGUUUUCUGCUUAGAGACAAGGGCUACCCUCUGUGGCCUGAACAUAUAUUGCACAACAAAGCAAAGCUGCUGAGACAACUUCAAACUUGCUUGAAACCAUCCCAGACUCUCACAACACUCCUGCCUGCACAAGGGGUUUCAGGUAUGAUUGACUGAACCUCAAGUCCUGCUGCCAGUGAAACCAAGUGGAGAUGACUCACCCCUCAGGGGAGAUGGUGUUUCACCUUCAGACCACAAACCUGGAGGCAGGAUGGAAACAGUAACUGACUCCAAUUCAGGAAAAGGAUGUUCAACCACCUGAAGAUUAAGAUGGAUUUGAACAUUCCCCCUGUU